GAUCAUGGCUCAGAACGAACGCUGGCGGCAGGCCUUAGGCAUGCAAGUCGAACGGAUGACAAGGGAGCUUGCUCCUGAAGUCAGUGGCGCACGAGUGAGUAACGCGUGGGAAACUGCCCUUCACUGGGGAAUAACGUUUGGAAACGAACGCUAAUACCGCAUACGCCCGCAAGGGGAAAGAUUUAUCGGUGAUGGAUGUGCCCGCGUUGGAUUAGCUAGUUGGUGGGGUAAUGGCCUACCAAGGCGAUGAUCCAUAGCUGGUCUGAGAGGACGAUCAGCCACGCUGGAACUGAGACACGGUCCAGACUCCUACGGGAGGCAGCAGCUAAGAAUAUUGGGCAAUGGAGGAAACUCUGACCCAGCCCAUGCCGCGUGAAUGAAGAAGGCCUUCGGGUUGUAAAGUUCUUUUAGUCAUGAAGAUGAUGACAGUAGUGACAGAAAAAGCACCGGCUAACUUCGUGCCAGCAGCGGC
rnacentral:rRNA from 1 species